rnacentral:miRNA from 1 species
GAGGGCAGAGCCAGCUUCCUGA